rnacentral:rRNA from 1 species
GAUGAACGCUGGCGGCGUGCCUAAUACAUGCAAGUCGAGCGAACGGACGAGAAGCUUGCUUCUCUGAUGUUAGCGGCGGACGGGUGAGUAACACGUGGAUAACCUACCUAUAAGACUGGGAUAACUUCGGGAAACCGGAGCUAAUACCGGAUGAUAUUUUGAACCGCAUGGUUCAAAAGUGAAAGACGGUCUUGCUGUCACUUAUAGAUGGAUCCGCGCUGCAUUAGCUAGUUGGUAAGGUAACGGCUUACCAAGGCAACGAUGCAUAGCCGACCUGAGAGGGUGAUCGGCCACACUGGAACUGAGACACGGUCCAGACUCCUACGGGAGGCAGCAGUAGGGAAUCUUCCGCAAAGGGCGAAAGCCUGACGGAGCAACGCCGCGUGAGUGAUGAAGGUCUUCGGAUCGUAAAACUCUGUUAUUAGGGAAGAACAUAUGUGUAAGUAACUGUGCACAUCUUGACGGUACCUAAUCAGAAAGACACGGCUAACUACGUG